AUUUGAACCGGAGGAACCGCUACGAAGAAGAGGGGAAGAAGAGCGGCCCAGUCCCGAAAAUCCACCUUUCAACUCGAUAUUGAUGGAGUGGCAGCCAGAUGAGCAGGGACUUCAACAGGUCCUCCAACUGCUCAAAGACUCGCAGUCGCCUAACACAGUCACGCAGAGAGCUGUCCAACAAAAACUUGAACAACUCAACCAGUUCCCCGACUUCAACAACUAUCUCAUCUUUGUCCUCACACGCCUCAAAACUGAAGAUGAGCCAACUCGCUCUCUGAGUGGGCUGAUUCUGAAGAACAAUGUUAAAGCCCACUACCAGAAUUUCCCCCCGACUGUUGCUGAAUUCAUCAAGCAGGAAUGUCUCAACAACAUCGGCGACCCAUCGCCGCUCAUUCGUGCCACCAUUGGCAUCCUCAUCACUACUAUUGCCUCCAAGGGAGAGCUACAGACGUGGCCUGAACUACUGCCACAGCUCUGCAACUUGCUCAACUCGGAAGACUACAACACCUGCGAGGGCUCGUUUGGAGCACUGCAGAAGAUCUGCGAGGACUCGUCUGAGCUGCUGGACAGCGACGCUCUGAACAGACCCCUCAACAUCAUGAUACCUAAGUUCCUUCAGUUCUUCAAGCACUGCAGCCCCAAAAUCAGGUCCCAUGCCAUCGCCUGCGUGAACCAGUUCAUCAUUGGGAGAGCUCAGGCCCUAAUGGACAACGUAGAUACUUUCAUAGAGAGCCUUUUUGCGCUGGCAGCAGACGAGGACUCAGAGGUUCGAAAGAAUGUGUGCCGAGCCCUGGUCAUGCUACUGGAGGUCCGCAUCGACCGCCUCAUCCCCCACAUGCACAGCAUCAUCCAGUACAUGCUGCAGCGGACCCAGGACCCCGAUGAGAAUGUGUCCCUUGAGGCCUGCGAAUUUUGGUUAACUCUAGCUGAGCAGCCCAUCUGUAAGGAGAUGCUGUCUGGACACCUUGUGCAACUGAUACCAAUCUUGGUGAAUGGGAUGAAGUACUCGGAGAUCGACAUUAUACUGUUAAAGGGUGAUGUGGAGGAGGACGAAGCAGUACCAGACAGCGAUCAGGACAUCAAGCCCCGGUUCCACAAGUCCCGCACUGUCACCUUGCAGCACGAAGGGGGGGAGGGAGAGGAGAAUGAGGACAUUGAAGAUGACGAUGACGACGAUGACGACACACUGUCGGACUGGAACCUGCGAAAGUGUUCUGCUGCAGCCCUGGAUGUGCUGGCCAAUGUGUUCCGUGACGACCUGCUGCCACACCUCCUUCCCCUCCUGAAAGGCCUGCUUUUCCACCCUGACUGGGUCGUCAAAGAGUCUGGCAUCCUGGUGCUCGGGGCCAUUGCUGAGGGCUGCAUGCAGGGCAUGGUGCCCUACCUGCCGGAGUUGAUCCCCCACCUCAUCCAGUGUCUUUGCGACAAGAAGGCCCUGGUGCGUUCCAUUGCCUGUUGGACCCUGAGUCGCUAUGCACAUUGGGUGGUCUCCCAGCCCCCCGAUUCCUUCCUCAAACCCCUCAUGACAGAGCUUCUGAAACGCAUUCUGGAUGGCAACAAGAGGGUGCAAGAGGCUGCCUGCAGCGCGUUUGCCACCCUAGAGGAGGAGGCAUGUACGGAGCUGGUUCCCUACCUGAGCUUCAUCCUGGACACGCUGGUCUUUGCCUUCGGGAAGUACCAGCACAAGAAUCUCCUCAUCCUCUACGAUGCCAUAGGAACUCUGGCAGACUCAGUGGGUCACCACCUCAAUCAGCCUGAGUAUAUUCAGAAGUUGAUGCCCCCCCUUAUUGCCAAGUGGAAUGAGCUGAAGGAUGAGGACAAGGAUCUUUUCCCACUAUUAGAGUGUUUAUCAUCGGUAGCCACUGCUCUGCAGAGCGGCUUUUUGCCUUACUGUGAGCCUGUCUACCAGCGCUGUGUCACUCUAGUCCAGAAGACACUAGCUCAGGCUAUGAUGUACAACCAGCAUCCAGACCAGUACGAGGCUCCUGACAAAGAUUUUAUGAUCGUUGCCUUGGAUCUGCUGAGUGGCCUAGCUGAGGGUUUGGGGGGGAAUGUGGAACAGCUGGUUUCCCGCUCCAACAUUAUGACUCUCCUUUUCCAGUGCAUGCAGGACACAAUGCCUGAAGUGAGGCAAAGCUCGUUUGCUCUGUUGGGUGAUCUAACUAAAGCCUGCUUUGUCCAUGUGAAGCCUUGUAUCGCUGAGUUCAUGCCGAUCUUGGGGCUCAACCUGAACCCAGAAUUCAUCUCUGUGUGUAACAACGCCACCUGGGCCAUUGGUGAGAUCGCCAUGCAAAUGGGUGCGGAGAUGCAGCCGUAUGUGGGCAUGGUCCUGCCAAACUUAGUAGAGAUCAUCAAUAGACCCAACACACCCAAGACUCUGUUGGAAAACACAGCAAUUACAAUUGGCAGACUGGGUUAUGUUUGUCCGCAGGAAGUGGCACCACAGUUGCAGCAUUUUAUAAGACCAUGCAAUUACAAUUGGCAGACUGGGUUAUGUUUGUCCGCAGGAAGUGGCACCACAGUUGCAGCAUUUUAUAAGACCAUGAUCCUUCAUGGCUUCAAAGACCAGGUUGGAGAAGAUAACUGGCAGCAGUUCUCCGAGCAGUUCCCCCCUCUGUUGAAGGAGCGUCUGUCAGCCUGCUACGGCGUCUAACCCGAGUUCCCCUUGGUCCACACAGGAAACAGACCUGUUAGCAAUUACAAUUGGCAGACUGGGUAAUGUUUGUCCGCAGGAAGUGGCACCACAGUUGCAGCAUUUUAUAAGACCAUGAUCCUUCAUGACUUCAAAGACCAGGUUGGAGAAGAUAACUGGCAGCAGUUCUCUGAGCAGUUCCCCCCUCUGUUGAAGGAGCGUCUGUCAGCCUGCUACGGCGUCUAACCCGAGUUCCCCUUGGUCCACACAGGAAACAGACCUGUUAGCAAUUACAAUUGGCAGACUGGGUUAUGUUUGUCCGCAGGAAGUGGCACCACAGUUGCAGCAUUUUAUAAGACCAUGAUCCUUCAAGGCUUCAAGACCAGGUUGGAGAAGAGAACUGGCAGCAGUUCUCCGAGCAGUUCCCCCCUCUGUUGAAGGAGAGUCUGUCGGCCUGCUACGGCGUCUAACCCGAAUUCCCCCUGGUCCACACAGGAAACAGACCUGUUAGCAAUUACAAUUGGCAGACUGGGUAAUGUUUGUCCGCAGGAAGUGGCACCACAGUUGCAGCAUUUUAGAAGACCAUGCAAUUACAAUUGGCAGACUGGGUAAUGUUUGUCCGCAGGAAGUGGCACCACUGGGUAAUGUUUGUCCGCAGGAAGUGGCACCACAGUUGCAGCAUUUUAGAAGACCAUGCAAUUACAAUUGGCAGACUGGGUUAUGUUUGUCCGCAGGAAGUGGCACCACAGUUGCAGCAUUUUAGAAGACCAUGAUCCUUCAUGGCUUCAAAGACCAGGUCGGAGAAGAGAACUGGCAGCAGUUCUCUGAGCAGUUCCCCCCUCUGUUGAAGGAGCAUCUGUCAGCCUGCUUAGGCUUCUCACCCGAAUUCCCCCUGGUCCACUCAGGAAACAGACCUGUUAGCAAUUACAAUUGGCAGACUGGGUUAUGUUUGUCCGCAGGAAGUGUCACCACAGUUGCAGCAUUUUAUAAGACCAUGAUCCUUCGUGGCUUCAAAGACCAGGUCGGAGAAGAGAACUGGCAGCAGUUCUCUGAGCAGUUCCCCCCUCUGUUGAAGGAGCGUCUGUCAGCCUGCUACGGCGUCUAACCCAAAUUCCCCCUGGUCCACACAGGAAACAGACCUGUUAGGUUAAUGUAGGGGAGGGUAACUGGGGAACUCAUUGCACUGCCCAGAGUGACUGGAUGGACCAGGAUGUGACUGACCUUGACCCUCGAUUUAGCGGAUGGCACCUUUCCCCCCCACCCUGUGUCUCUGAGGGAGGGUGGGAGGGUAAACUAGGGAUAUGCAUAUACCUCUAGGACUAAUUGCCUCACGAAAUCCAAUUUUUUGCUGAACUUUGGUGCAGGUGGGAUAUAUCCCUUUUUUUAUUUAAUUUGUGAAUAGGGGAAAAUAAAAUAUUUUUUUCUAUUAAA